rnacentral:rRNA from 1 species
GGACCCGCACAAGCGGUGGAGCGUGUGGUUUAAUUCGAUGCUAAGCGAAGGACCUUACCAAGGUUUGACAUGCUAAUGGUAGUGAAUUGAAAGAGGAACGACCACACUAUGUGUGGAGUUAGCACAGGUGGUGCACGGCCGUCGUCAGCUCGUGUCGUGAGGUGUUGGGUUAAGUCCCGCAACGAGCGCAACCCCUGCUCUUAGUUACCAGCGGUAAGGCCGGGUACUCUAGGAGGACCGCCGCCGACGAGGCGGAGGAAGGGGGG